GACGAACGCUGGCGGCGUGCUUAACACAUGCGAGUCGAACGGAAAGGCCCUGCUUUUGUGGGGUGCUCGAGUGGCGAACGGGUGAGUAGCACGUGAGUAACCUGCCCUUGACUUUGGGAUAACUUCAGGAAACUGGGGCUAAUACCGGAUAGGAGCUCCUGCUGCAUGGUGGGGGUUGGAAAGUUCCGGCGGUUGGGGAUGGACUCGCGGCUUAUCAGCUUGUUGGUGGGGUAGUGGCUUACCAAGGCUUUGACGGGUAGCCGGCCUGAGAGGGUGACCGGCCACAUUGGGACUGAGAUACGGCCCAGACUCCUACGGGAGGCAGCAGUGGGGAAUAUUGCACAAUGGGCGGAAGCCUGAUGCAGCAACGCCGCGUGCGGGAUGACGGCCUUCGGGUUGUAAACCGCUUUCGCCUGUGACGAAGCGUGAGUGACGGUAAUGGGUAAAGAAGCACCGGCUAACUACGUG
rnacentral:rRNA from 1 species